CCUCUUCACAUCAUCAGGCAUAAGAACAAAAAGCAGUGGGAAAUAUUACUAGCAUAAAAAAAAAAAGAGGGCAAUGCUAUAGCUGCCUAUUCACUUUUCAUGGCCCAAGUGAAUAUUGCCACGGUGGAGCAGUGGUUAGAAUGCAGUA